AGCCGCCAAUGGUUUUCUUACUGACAUGAACCCAACUCGCAGCCCAGCCCAGCGCAGAAAACAAAGCAGAACCAUGAGCCCGAAGAGUCUCUCUCCCUCUCUCUCUCUCUCUCUGUAAAACUGAUCCAUUGGACCAUUACGUUAAAGAGCCUGAUCCCCCUCAAGGGCGUCUCUUUCAACUCCAUUUUCACUGUAAUGAAAUGGAGCACUGUAGAUUCACACUCGACUUCGCGAUCUAGCCUCUGUGCAACACUGCAAUCAAAUCGAUCUGGAGAUUGAGGGGUUGAAUUUAUUGGGGAAUUUUUUACUUAAUGAUUCCAUUUAAUGUUGCAUUAAAAAAAUGAUUAAAGAUACAAAUGGAGGGGAUGAGGAGCUCAACAAUCACUCGAAUAUGGUGCAUAUAAAGAGUCCAAGAAAUUGCUCCCGAUCCAUCCCCAUGUUCUUUGGUAAAAUCAAAGGGGGCAGCCGCCUUAAUAUUGAACUGUGCUCAAUGGAACUAUGAAGAGUAUUGAUGAUGUGCAAAUGGAACUAGAUUGGAUCUCUCUUUUGGAUUUAAAAAUGGUGGAAAGGGAAGUAGAAAUUCUUAACUGGAUAGGUUUCUAGGCAUGGGCAUGACCAAUAUGAGCAGAAAAAGGAAAAUGUGAGAGCUUUUUCCUUUUCUUUUUUGAUUUUUGGAGGAGAGGGAGAGAGGGUUUUGGUGUUUAGGAUCACUUCCACUAUUGUAAUAUAAUCAUCAUCGCUUGUGAAAAAAAAUUAUUAAGAACACCGUACUGGCAAUAAAUAUGAAGAAAGUCUGAUUACAUUACAU